GGGGAGGUUCCCGAGUGGCCAAAGGGGACAGACUGUAAAUCUGUUGGCUCAGCCUUCGCAGGUUCGAAUCCUGCUCUCCCCACCA
rnacentral:tRNA from 1 species